rnacentral:rRNA from 1 species
UGGGGAAUUUUGGACAAUGGGCGCAAGCCUGAUCCAGCCAUGCCGCGUGCGGGAAGAAGGCCUUCGGGUUGUAAACCGCUUUUGUCAGGGAAGAAAUCUUCUGAGUUAAUACCUCGGGAGGAUGACGGUACCUGAAGAAUAAGCACCGGCUAACUACGUGCCAGCAGCCGCGGUAAUACGUAGGGUGCAAGCGUUAAUCGGAAUUACCGGGCGUAAAGCGUGCGCAGGCGGUUUUGUAAGACAGAGGUGAAAUCCCCGGGCUCAACCUGGGAACUGCCUUUGUGACUGCAAGGCUUGAGUGCGGCAGAGGGGGAUGGAAUUCCGCGUGUAGCAGUGAAAUGCGUAGAUAUGCGGAGGAACACCGAUGGCGAAGGCAAUCCCCUGGGCCUGCACUGACGCUCAUGCACGAAAGCGUGGGGAGCAAACAGGAUUAGAUACCCUGGUAGUCCACGCCCUAAACGAUGUCAACUGGUUGUUGGGGAAGGUUCCUUCUCAGUAACGUAGCUAACGCGUGAANUUGACCGCCUGGGGAGUACGGCCGCAAGGUUG